AUUGCCUGUUCAUAAACAUUUGUUUAUUUUGGGCUUGAAUUUCAACUUCAAAAGUUGUAGAUAUUUAUAGUGGUUGUGCUUCCUUGAGUCCAUAAAGCACAAGUUGCUUUACAUAAUUGGAGCUUCCAUGAAUAGUCAUAGUGGAGGUUACUAUUUUCAGACCCACGCCAAUCAGUCAUUGGGCUUGAACAAUCCUUUUAAUGUUUCAACUUCAAUAGUCAUCUGCCAAUCUGUCAUGUUUCAGAAUAAAAAUGCUAUGGAUCCUUUAGGAGAAAAAAGUUAUUCCGGCUGGUUUACCUGCCAACUCUAUAGUUUGAUACUAAAUACUUGUUCUGAUUUCA
rnacentral:misc_RNA from 1 species